rnacentral:rRNA from 1 species
ACGGGAGGCAGCAGUGGGGAAUAUUGCACAAUGGGCGAAAGCCUGAUGCAGCGACGCCGCGUGAGGGAUGACGGCCUUCGGGUUGUAAACCUCUUUCAGCAGGGAAGAAGCCACAAGUGACGGUACCUGCAGAAGAAGCGCCGGCUAACUACGUGCCAGCAGCCGCGGUAAUACGUAGGGCGCAAGCGUUGUCCGGAAUUAUUGGGCGUAAAGAGCUCGUAGGCGGUUUGUCGCGUCUGCUGUGAAAGCCCGGGGCUUAACCCCGGGUGUGCAGUGGGUACGGGCAGACUAGAGUGCAGUAGGGGAGACUGGAAUUCCUGGUGUAGCGGUGGAAUGCGCAGAUAUCAGGAGGAACACCGAUGGCGAAGGCAGGUCUCUGGGCUGUUACUGACGCUGAGGAGCGAAAGCAUGGGGAGCGAACAGGAUUAGAUACCCUGGUAGUCCAUGCCGUAAACGUUGGGCACUAUCUGUGGGGGAC